ACUCUUCUAGUAUAACAGUACAAGUGCCUUCCAAGCACUAAGUUUUAGCUAAAAUCCUAAAGAAGAGUA
rnacentral:tRNA from 1 species